rnacentral:piRNA from 1 species
UGGCAUUGGUGCUUCUGAGAACCUUGAGAA